UACGGAGGAGGCAAGCGUUAUCCGGAAUUAUUUGGCGUAAAGCGGCCGCAGGUGGCACUUCAAGUCUGUCGUCAAAGACUGGGGCUUAACCCUGGAAAGGCGGUGGAAACUGAAGCGCUAGAGUGCGGUAGGGGUAGAGGGAAUUCCCGGUGUAGCGGUGAAAUGCGUAGAGAUCGGGAAGAACAUCGGUGGCGAAAGCGCUCUACUGGACCGCAACUGACACUCAGGGACGAAAGCUAGGGGAGCGAAUGGG
rnacentral:rRNA from 1 species